rnacentral:lncRNA from 1 species
AUGCACCGAACACCCCAACUUUACCAACUCUAUUUUGCAGGUGAAUGCUACUUCCUCAAUGAAUCUGUGACUUCUUUUAUUGGUUACCAUCACCCAAACUGCACGAAUCCAAACUUAGCAGUGGGAUCAUCUCUGCAAAUAAGGGUUUCUCAGAUCAUUAACAAUGCCUGUUGCAAAAUGGUAUACUGCAUGUGUGACUUCGUAUCAGGCCUUCAAAGUGAAAUCAAAUAUUUGUGCAUCUGAAGUCAAAGAGGAAUACUCUUUUCAAAAAAAAAUUUUAUUAUGCUUACAGUCCUGGGAUACAUUUGCAGGAUGUGCAGGUUUGUUACAUAGGUAUACACGUGCCAUGGUGGUUUGCUGCACCCAUCAACCUGUUAUCUACAUUAGGUAUUUCUCCUAACGCUAUCCCUCCCCUAGCCCUCCACCCCCUGACAGACCCCAGUGUGUGAUGUUCCCCUCCCUGUGUCCACGUGUCCUCAUUGUUCAACUCCCACUUAUGAGUGAGAACAUGUGGUAUUUGGUUUUCUGUUCUUGUGUUAAUUUGCUGAGAAUGAUGGCUUCCAGCUUCAUCCAUGUCCCUGCAAAGGGCAUGAACUCAUCCUUUUUUUAUGGCUACAUAGUAUUCCAUGGUGUAUAUGUGCCAUAUUUUCUUUACCCAGUCUAUCAUUGAUGGGCAUUUGGUCUGGUUCCAAGUCUUUGCUAUUGUGAACAGUGCUGCAAUAAACAUCCAUGUGCAUAUGUCUUUAUAGUAGAAUGAUUUAUAAUCCUUUGGGUAUAUACCCAGUAAUGGGAUUGCUGGGUCAAACUAAUUGUAUAAAUUAGUCAAUGGAUAUGUUUUUUUGUGGCAGAGUUUGCUGAGAUAUUUUUCUAUAGACCAGUUCAGAAAUGACUCUAUAUUGAAAUGAAUGUCAAUCAGCAGAGUCAUUAGAAUAAAAUCUGGUGUUCAGUUUCACAGACACAGGAUGCAAGGACACCCAUAGCAAGAAUCAAACUUCUGAUAGAAACUUUGGUGUUUUCAAAAGCAAUCUCAUGUAUUUAAUCUUCCUUAAGUCACUAUAAGGUGGAAAAUUAUUUCUUUGUCAAAAGGAUCCUAUGAAAAGUUCUGAAUGCUGAAUAAACAAAGGCUAUCAUUUUGUACAAUAAAAAUAACAACCAUAUAAACUCAUUAGUAGAGAAAUUUUGGUGUCCCACAAGACAUUUUACAGAUAAAAUGUAAAAGCACUUUGAUGCACUCAAACAUAAUGAAAAUCUUUGACACUUAUAACAUUUUAGAAUAUAUCUAAAAAUUGCUCAAAUAAAAAUAAAAAUUCCUACUGGUAUAGUCUAAUUACAUUAAAAAAGAACAUUGUAGUUUAACAUUUAUUUAAUUUCAGUCACAUAUUCUCAAAUG